rnacentral:misc_RNA from 1 species
AGAAAUCAAGGAGAACGUUGCAUUCCAACUAUUGUCCACAUUUUGUGACUUACCUUGCUUGUACAUUCAUUGCCAUACUUGUUGCUAUCUAUUCAGCAUUGUUGUGAGUUUCUUUCCCCCUAAAGGUAGAGUUUUCAUUGAAAGCCUUGAGUAGGUAAUGAAGAGGAUACAAAUAUUACUUGUUCCCAGGGAUUACAAAGAAAGAGUCCCUCGGGGCUUUGGAGGCCAAGCAAUUAGACACCCUCUUUUAACAUCUCUAACAAAGGAAAAGUUUACAGUAUCAAAGCUAGAGGAUAAGGAUAAUUUAUCAAGUAAAAAUACCCUGAACUUCCAUGGAAGCUGAAGCUCCAUUUAAAGCCUGAAUGGUAGUUUGAGAGUCUCCUUCUAUGAUUACAUUACUGAAACCUUUAACUUCGGUGAUGAAAUUAUGUUUUUGGCAAAACUAGCCCACAUAGUCCUG